GGAUAACCCGGCGAAAGUCGGACUAAUACCGCAUAAAACAGGGGUCCCGCAUGGGAAUAUUUGUUAAAGAUUUAUCGGUUGCGGAUGGGCAUGCGUACCAUUAGGUAGUUGGUGAGGUAACGGCUCACCAAGCCUUCGAUGGUUAGGGGUUCUGAGAGGAAGGUCCCCCACACUGGUACUGAGACACGGACCAGACUCCUACGGGAGGCAGCAGUGAGGAAUAUUGGUCAAUGGGCGAGAGCCUGAACCAGCCAAGUCGCGUGAAGGAUGACUGCCCUAUGGGUUGUAAACUUCUUUUACAAGGGAAUAAAAUGAGAUACGUGUAUUUUAUUGCAUGUACCUUGGGAAUAAGCAUCGGCUAACUCCGUGCCAGCAGCCGCGGUAAUACGGAGGAUGCGAGCGUUAUCCGGAUUUAUUGGGUUUAAAGGGUGCGUAGGUGGGCUGUUAAGUCAGCGGUGAAAGUUUGUCGCUUAACGAUAAAAUUGCCGUUGAAACUGGUAGUCUUGAGUAUAGAUGAAGUAGGCGGAAUGCGUGGUGUAGCGGUGAAAUGCAUAGAGAUCACGCAGAACUCCGAUUGCGAAGGCAGCUUACUAAGGUAUAACUGACACUGAAGCACGAAAGCGUGGGUAUCAAACAGGAUUAGAUACCCUGGUAGUCCACGCAGUAAACGAUGAUUACUAGGAGUUUGCGAUAUACAGUAAGCUCUACAGCGAAAGCGUUAAGUAAUCCACCUGGGGAGUACGC
rnacentral:rRNA from 1 species